GAUGAUAUAUUUAUUUACACGUAAACGAUAUACAUUCUCAUGUAUUUCUUUCUUCUCCCCCACUCAAAAUCACAUUGUAAAGGCUUCACUCCCACAAAUCAUUCAUUAUGCAUGCUCUUAGAAUUUCUCUCUGAAACAUCUCCCACCCUCUCAAAACACUCUGAUGAUUUCGACGAUCUGAGACUGCCAUUGCCGGUCACCGGACGACCAGACGCAGCGCGGAUCGUUCGACACGACUUCCAUUUCCGUCUCCCAGGUACCAAUAAUCGACGAUCUUAUUUUGAAUCAUGAUUCUGUGAAGAAAAUGAACAUCACUGACUGACUCGACCCGCAUCCUUUUUGACUUCUCAGUUAGGGUUUCUUAAUUUUUUUUGAUAAAGCCUCAAAAUUGUUUGUUUAAAGAUUGUGGUGAAGUUUCGGUGAUUUCUUAAAACCCCCGGUAAUAUUCAUCAUCCAUUUUAAGUUGUGUUUUUUGGUUUUCUACAAUUUUGUAUAUAAUUGAUUGAAUUCAAGCUUUGAUGUGCAGAUCUUUCAAAACCACAAAGAUUUGUGCAGUCUUAUUAUUUCAAUUGUUUUCGGGUGAAGUAUAAAAAUUCUUUGUUGAAAUAGUAAAAGCAUAGAUCUUGCAAAUAUUCUUUCUUUAUAAUGCUGUGCAUUAGUUUUUGAUAUCAUGUGAUGUGAUGUUUUACCCUUUUAAUUAUAUUUCUCUUUGAUAUAUGUGACCAUGAUGAGCACUUGAGCGAUCGGAUUCAGUUUGUCAGGUUAGCCAUUGAUCAAACCAUUUAGUUGACAAAGAUUCUAUUUUUUAAGGAAGGUUAGCUAAUUAGCCUCUACAUCAGGUGAGCUGGGUUGGGUUGUUAGUAUACAUUGGUAGAGGUGUAAUUACGAGCCUAGUCGAGCUGAGCCGGAGGAGCUUAGUUUCUAAUGCUCGAGCUAGGCUUGUUAGUAGUUUCUUCAAGCUUGAGUUCGGCUGCAAUUAAUGUAUAUCCAUUCAGGUGCAAGACUGGUUGUACCCGGCCUGAUGGUGAAGCUGCUUCUGCUACUCAAUUUCUAGAUUACUUGAAUCAAUUGAAAGCUAUUGGCGACCCUACUUUUUCAGGAUAAAAUUGGAAGAGAGCUCACCUAAAUGCAAAAGGAAGUGAGUGGUGCGCCGGUUGAUGAUGAGGAAGAACGUCUAUUACAUGCCCUUGGUGAUAGGUGUGCUUGGAGCUAGAGGAUUGGGUGAAAAGUGCAAGUGUAGCCCCCGAGAUAUGUCGUGUGUCUUCAACUCACCAUCACUAUUCGAAUGCAAUUAAAUGAGAGAAACCAUCCGCCUAAUGAAUGAAAGCAUGCAAUGGAUGCAAGGUGAGAUCAAUAAUCUAAAUAGACGCGGGUCUUCAAUGCAAGACGAAGAUGAUUGUUAGUUUUUUAUGACACUCUGAUGGUUUGUAUUAGAACCAAUUAAAUAAUGUACUUGAUGAUUUUUAAUUAUAAUCAGUUGUGAUUUUUCCAGUUUUUAA